rnacentral:tRNA from 1 species
AGUCCCUUGGUGUAAUGGUAGCAUGGGAGGUCUUGACCCUCCUAGCCGGGGUUCGAAUCCCUGAGGGACUA